rnacentral:rRNA from 1 species
AGAGUUUGAUCAUGGCUCAGAACGAACGCUGGCGGCAGGCCUAACACAUGCAAGUCGAACGAUAAGCCACCUUCGGGUGGUGGACAGUGGCAGACGGGUGAGUAACGCGUGGGAACGUGCCUUUCGGUUCGGAAUAACCCAGGGAAACUUGGGCUAAUACCGGAUACGCCCUUCGGGGGAAAGAUUCAUUGCCGAAAGAUCGGCCCGCGUCGGAUUAGCUAGUUGGUGGGGUAAUGGCUCACCAAGGCGACGAUCCGUAGCUGGUCUGAGAGGAUGACCAGCCACACUGGGACUGAGACACGGCCCAGACUCCUACGGGAGGCAGCAGUGGGGAAUAUUGGACAAUGGGCGCAAGCCUGAUCCAGCCAUGCCGCGUGGGUGAAGAAGGCCUUAGGGUUGUAAACCCCUUUCAGCGGGGAAGAUAAUGACGGUACCCGCAGAAGAAGUCCCGGCUAACUCCGUGCCAGCAGCCGCGGUA